CUCGAUCUCUCUCUCUCUCUCUCUGUUGUUGCCGGCCCUGAUGAUUUCUUUUCCGAUUUUGCUGUCGCCUUCGUCGAUUUCUCCGUCGUUGUCCCGUCCUCGUGUCGCCAUCAUCUCUACAUCACUCUCGAUUUCUCUCAGUUUGGUUUAAUUUAUAUUCAUAUAUCAGUGGUAUCGAUGUGUCUAUGGUGAUGAAGUAUGCUGACAAAAUUGUGAAGGUGUAUUCGACUUCUGUAGCAAUGCUAAGUAACAAGAAUGUCCUUCUCAAUGGCUUUCUUGAGGAGGUAUAUAUGGAUCGACCACCACAGUUUGCCUGUUGAGACAAUUUUUGAGGUUCUUGUACUGUUUGGUCUGUUUACAGGUGAUGACUGUUUUGUUUCCUACGAAGAAUUAUAGGACAAACGAAUCAUUUGUUGUCUAAAUGGGUGCAGGAAGCAAUUUAUGAUCCUUGAAUGACACCAAUACUUCCUACAGAUACAAGUAUCUUAUGAUUACAUCAGGGAACUUGUUUUCAAACAGAAGCAUCUGCUACAUUUGAUCUCUGAAUAUGGUCUGCUGGGGUGCAUCCAACUGGGAAAAUUAUCAGAUUUUAUGAUAAUAUGUGAAAAUAGUUUUUGAUUGUGGCUUUUGUGUUAACAUGACAAGAUCUUGGAAGAAAUGGUGCUACAUGACAGGCUCUAGCACAUGUUUGAGAAGGUGGUCAACCAAUCAAAAGAAUUAGAUCUAACUCACACUUUUGGUUGAUACAGAGGAUAUUUAUGGACUCCUUGGACGGGUCUGCUAGUAGUAGUACUGUGGCUUUUAUAUGUAGGUCUUUAUUAAGUGUUAGGAACUCUCUCAUUUGAAAGAUAUUUUGAAUU